CCAACGGCCCUCUUUAGGGCCACAAAUUUGUAUAAAAUCCAGCAUU
rfam:Caenorhabditis japonica strain DF5081 Contig17151.5, whole genome shotgun sequence.